rnacentral:sRNA from 1 species
GGUUAUCCUAUUCAGCUCAAAACGUUUCUUUUUCUAGCUGGACCAGUCCGGUACGCUCCGGGCCUCACCGGGGAAGUCCCACCCUGCAGGGGAACCGACUCUGGCCGGCCCUAGCCCCUCUCGAGCGAGUCCCGCCCCAUCUCCGGUCUGUCCUGAAGGCAGAGGGAAGACCCUCACCCAACCCCUGCCCGCUCCCUUCUAAGAGCGGCUAGUCCUUCUCCACCCCAGGCGCUCCCUCUGGCUGCCCCUCCCACUCGCUCUGAUCUCUCCGUCCGCUACUUGCGGUCGAGCCUUCUUGGGGGAGCCCCGCCACUGAAUACCCCCUUUGCCAUACUCCCACCUCUCUUACCCCAACCCUGGACUUCCCGUUGGCCCUAGCUAUAAGCCCCGCCCCUCUCCGAGGGACAGCCCCUGCUCCAGUCUCCGCGGUCCCACUCACCGUAGCCCCUCCCUCGGGCAGCCCCUGGGCUUUGACCCAGCCAGCACCGCCUCUCCUAGUGGCAACUGGCUGGGAAUGGCUGAGGGGCUACCUACUGCUUGCGGCCUGCCAGGGGGUGGAGGGGGGCGGAAAGAAGAAAGGGGGCGGGGUUGAGGGGGGCGGGCCUGGACCUGGGGAGUGAAAGCGAAAGCCCGGGCGACUAGCCGGGAGACCAGAGAUCUAGCGACUGAAGCAGCAUGGCCAAGCCGUGUGGGGUGCGCCUGAGCGGGGAAGCCCGCAAACAGGUGGAAGUCUUCAGGCAGAAUCUUUUCCAGGAGGUAAGUCUCUGGAUUUGAGCGAUUUGACCCAGAAUCUUGGACCAAUACUUGAGGAUAACAGCCUCUCAGAAUGACCCCCCCAAGUCACCCUAGACUCAACCCUACUUCCCUUACCAAGCCUUCACCCAAAGUAACCCCGGAAUUAUUGAUAGCUACCUUUAAUCUGACCUUUCUUAUGACUCUCCUGACUUCUGGCACUUCUCCCCUCUUUUGAUGUGGAGGAAAAAAACCAUGGCUUCCAAAGCAGGAGUAUCACAGUCCUAACCUUGGUUCUGCCACUUACCAGCUUGGGCAAGUCCUUUCAUUUUCAGGUCUUCAGUGUCCUCAUUUGCAAGUCUUGGACCCAGUGAUUUCCAAAGGCCCUUCCAGUUCCAUUUGUCAGACAUCUCAUUGAGCAUAUUCUGUGAUUCCCCUCCCUUGCAAUGUAACCCACAGGCGGAGGAAUUCCUCUACAGAUUCUUGCCACAGAAAAUCAUAUACCUGAAUCAGCUCUUGCAAGUGAGUAGUGUGGGCCCCUUCUGCCCCAUCCCAUGUCCUCUAUCCCCUUUGCCCACCCUCUCUAGCUAACAACUGGAUUCAGCAUGCAGAGAAUAGUUUCAAAUAGUGGAUUAGGAACAUUAGGAUGGCGUGAGGCAUGAGCCUAGGUUGGGAGGCAGAGGGCAAGUGGGAUGUAUGGAGGGAAGGCUGUGACCUAGGAUGAAGGGAAGAGGCUGGGCAGCCCUUGACAGUGAGCUCUGUGCAGGAGGACUCCCUCAAUGUGGCUGACCUGACUUCCCUCCGGGCCCCACUGGACAUCCCCAUCCCAGACCCUCCACCCAAGGAUGAUGAGAUGGAAACAGAUAAGCAGGAGAAGAAAGAAGGUAAGAGAGAUAAGAGGUGGUUGGGGAAGGGGAGAUGGCACAUUGACUACUGGAUGAGAAAGGGCCUGAAUCCCCUCUUUCUCACAGUCCCUAAGUGUGGAUUUCUCCCUGGGAAUGAGAAAGUCCUGUCCCUGCUUGCCCUGGUUAAGCCAGAAGUCUGGACUCUCAAAGAGAAAUGCAUUCUGGUAAGCCUGGGAAAUGGGGGAAGCAGAAAGAGAAGACACAAGGUGAGGCCCUGGACUCCUCCGUAGAUACAAGUCCUUCAUACAGAGACCAAGUCCUGAAAAAGAAAACUUCCUUCUGUGCCUUGGGCUUAGAUCCCCUUUGUUCUCCUCGUUCUGUUAGACCUCUCUUACCACAACAGUACCCCAAAAUUAGAGACUGUGCAGUAUCCACUCUGUAACCUCAGAACCUACUGCUGUAUUGGGUUCAUAGUAGAGGUGGUAUGAUAUAGUGAGUGAAUUGUUUCAAAAGAUUGGACCCUAGAGAGAGACUGCUUAGGUUCAAAUCGUGAUUCUAUCAGUUACCUAGCUGGUAGCCUUAAGUAAGUCACUUAGACAUUCUGUGACUCAGUUUUUUCAUCUGUUAAAUGGGUACAAUAAAUACAUAUCUCUGAAGGUUGCUGCGAUGAUUAAAUGAAAGAAAUACAUGGCGCAGUACCUGGUACGUAAUAUGUACCCAAUUAAAUAUAACUAUUUUUUAGGAAGUGACAGUAAUAGGAAGAACUCAUUAUGUUUGUUGAAUGAUUCUUACAUGAUACCUCUUAACACAGGUGAUUACAUGGAUCCAACACCUGAUCCCCAAGAUUGAAGAUGGAAAUGAUUUUGGGGUAGCAAUCCAGGAAAAGGUGCUGGAGAGGGUGAAUGCUGUCAAGACCAAAGUGGAAGCUUUCCAGACAACCAUUUCCAAGUACUUCUCAGAACGUGGGGAUGCUGUGGCCAAGGCCUCCAAGGAGACUCAUGUAAUGGAUUACCGGGCCUUGGUGCAUGAGCGAGAUGAGGCAGCCUAUGGGGAGCUCAGGGCCAUGGUGCUGGACCUGAGGGCCUUCUAUGCUGAGCUUUAUCAUAUCAUCAGCAGCAACCUGGAGAAAAUUGUCAACCCAAAGGGUGAAGAGAAGCCAUCUAUGUACUGAAC